rnacentral:lncRNA from 1 species
AGAAUUCAAAAUUUGAAAUGUUCAAAUACUGUUCCUUUGAAAACAAUUCAUAAAACCCAAUCAUACAUUCAUAAUGGCAUCAUCCACCAAUAUAUUCAAAAAUAGAUUAACAAAUAAUUCUUAAUAUUUCACACCAAGUAUUCAUAUAUACAUGAUUAGACCUUGACCAUCAGCGGAGUGACUCUGGGCACGGUUGCUAACAUUUAAUGUCAUGGUAAACCUACCGAGUAAUGGAUAAGGAGGAAUACCUCGUUCUAGGAUCCAAUCACCAUUGACUCAGAAACCUAAAACAUGAAUUUUUAAAAACGUGAGCACAAACUUAGUGAGUGAACAUAGGAAGGGAACAAGCAACAUUAAGGAAUGUUUAGAAAUCACGAUGCACUUAUUUGAAAACGAUGCACUUUAGCUUAAGUCCUUAUUAAAACCCUCAAUUGAACCCUUGGUUGAAAAAUCAUGUGACGAUAGAGAAUUCAUAUUCAACAUGAAAUUGGAGAAAUGGAAAAUAUGGUAAAAACCGGCCAAAUGAUAAGCGGAACAGAAAGUUUCAUUCUUGCUGUAGCGAGAAACAGAGCAACAAGAAAUACUUCCUUUCAUCCCAAAUAAACCAUUUCACUAUAAUGCAAAUCAAUUUGGAACAUUAAAAAAAUACUCAAGGUUCAGCAAGUAGGACUCCAUAUACAUUAUAGUCACAUAUGUUAUUCAUAAAAUCUUUAUUGCAUUAAUACAUGUGAACAUAUCCAAACAUAUAUGUAUAUAUAUGUAUACAUCCACCGCCUCCCCAGCUCAUGUGCAUCCCCCCACAUUGUGCACAUCUAAUGCUGUCAUGUACAUCCCCCAACAUCGCGUACACGGGCAAUAUCAUCAUUUGCCUACCUCACCACUAUCAUUACCGGUAUGUGCAUCCCCCCACAUCGUGCACACACACGGUUAUAUCCAUUACACAAUAUUAUCUACCAAUGUACUAUACAUACAUAUAUAUAUCAACAUUAUACUGAAACAUAUGGAUUCAUCACACUAUCCAUUUCACAACAUAAAAACAUUUCAUAAGGGCUUGUUCCCAGGCUUUUUUUUUUUUGAAGAGAAUUGGAUAAAUCAUUCAAAAUAUUUGUCCAAAUACAUUCACAUCUCCAAAAGAGUUUUGAAAUGCAAGUUCACUCACCUGGCAACAACGAGAUAUUAAGUCACUAUUUGUUUGGAGGUGUCUCUAACUAUUUUCACUAGCUGGUCGCUCGUUAUUUACUUCGGCACGCCAUCACAGUUCUCUAACCUUAUCUUUGCACUUCCAAGCAAUAAUACGAACUCAAUAUUUUUAAUUACAUACGUAUACGGGUAGCACUUCAAUCAAGUAAUCCUUACUCAAAUUUAUAUUUUUCAUCCUAUCAUGAAACCAUCUUCAAUUAACUCACAUCUUAAUACAUUUUUAUCAAAAUUACUUAUAUCCAUUGCUUACGAAAUUCCUUAGAUUAUAUCACCGGCAACUUAUUUAUGAUGUCACAUGCCUACUUCAACCUUUCUAAAUAAUUUUUGUCCAAAUCCAUCGUAUAUUUCCACACAUAAUCCACAUAUAUGGCAGCAACAAUCAUUCUCACUUUCACUCGAUUAUUUCCUAGUUUACAUGCAUCAUUAUCUCUCUAACUUUUAAUACUUUGUUUCUCAAUCUUCCAUCCACACUAUUCCUUUUUCAUUUCUUUCAAACAACAUGCCAUACAAUCUUAAUAAUUUUCAACUAGCUUCGGCAAAUAAAUCCUUUCAAUAACCAUAAUUCCUCACGAUACUCAACUAACCGUAGGCUUUAAAACAUAGUGUUAAGCUUACCGUUUUCCUUUUUCACUUUGAGUCCUUCAUGUACCCAUGGGUUUAUUGGCUUACAUGUUACCAAUUUUUCUCCAAUCAAGCCAAUCUUUGCUGCCACAAGACAUUUCUCUAAGUCACUAACUUAUUUUCAAAGACUACUCAAGCCAAAAAUAAGAAUUCUUAUCGUUCCUUGCUUGAAUCACCAAAACUAAGCUUUUUCUUCCUUUCUCUCUUUUUUCUUUCUUCUCCUCCUAGGGUUUAGAUGUGCUGGAAAUUGGGGCUAAAGGCUGAAAAUUUAGUGCUCAAGAAGUUUGGAGAAGAAAGGGAAAGAAAACAUGGAAAGGAAAGUGAAGAAAACUUGAUUUCAUGGUGGAUAAAGAGAAAAUGGCAUGGAAACUUCAAGAAUGGCGUGGAGCAUGGAUGAAGAAGAAGAAAA